rnacentral:lncRNA from 1 species
GUGUAAAGUACUGCGUCACAGCUGACCGCUUUCCGCUGGACUCGCGUGCCUUGUGGAGUCGUGAUGGGAUCCACCUGAGUGACGAUCUGGGGAUGCCGCUUCUCGCGAAGCUUCUGUGGCACUUCUCCUUUCGGCAGCUACAGUCACCUCUGCCUGUUACACCUCCGCCUGUGUCUCCUCCCAAGUCACCGCCGACUGUGAGACCCUUUGCUACUACCGUGGUUGUGAAGGGAGAAGUUUCACGUCCACGUCCCCUUGACCCCUUCAAGGAAACUGUCGUCGGACGUCGCGGAAAGGUAAAAGUUAUACAAUUUUGAAGAGCUUUAGUUUUAGUUAGGCCACAUUUAUUGAAUACUAAUUCUCCCUAUGUGUUUAUAGCGCAGCCAACCUGAGUCCUGGGAUGCGCCUGAGGACUGGGAUCAGUUUUCCGUGCGGAUCCUUCCUCAUGAGGUUUGUACAUUGGUAUGAUAGCUGAAAGGAAAUCAAACCGUAAUGAUGCGUACAUUUGUUGUUUCAUUUAAAUGCUAUUCCUAUAAGACAAGGCAAAUGGCUCAAUUCUGUUUUUUAUUUCUAGGUUUGUGUGCCUCCUCUGGUCCUGAGGGAGUGCUUUGUCGUGCUAAACCCUAUCCGGUUUAGCACUGACAAGUUGGCUGCAAUGGAUCGCAUUGUUCCAUCCAACCUUGACGUCCCCAUGUAUGCUACCAUGGGGAAUCGCUCAAAGGUAAUUUGUGUGAUUUUAAUAUUAACUGUUUGUGAGUGCAUACAUAUUAAUAGCGCCUGUAAUCCUAUAUGACAAGCUUUACAUUGUAUGGUAGAGAUAGUUGCAUUGAUAAUAAAAGUGUUUUAUUUCAUUAACUGUUAUCAUUUCCGUUCUCUUCCAUUAUGAUAGAAACGGAAGGUGGCACAUGGAACCACGGCUGUGGUCUCCAAAGGAAAGAAGGCCCGCCUUGAGGUUGGUAAUUUCUCAGUGAAAUAUGUACUUGUUUUUUGGUUGAAACACAGGAACAACUAUUUUCUGAUUUCGCCUUUAACACAAGAGAUAGUCCAACAUUCUCUGUGUAGGUAUUGUUUUGCCAAUGAUUUACAAUUAUUUUCCAGGCACUUCAAACUCCAGCAAGGAUUGCCAAACCUUCGAAGCUGGUACCUCCCCCUCGACCUGUUCCAGAAGCUGCUGUACCAGCUACUCUGGAGGGCGUACCUCCUCCUCGACCUGUUCCAGAAGCUGCUGUGCCAGCCACUCUGGAGGGCAGCGUCUUUGUGCAUUCGAGCAAGUUUGCUCAACCGGAGGGGGAUGACAAGACUCUGUGUGUUGAUGAGUGGCCGUUUCUUCAAACAAAGUUUUGUGAGAAGGUGAACCAGCCAACUGCUCGGGUUGUCUCUGGACAGAGAAAACAAGAGGAGCCAACACCUUGGGGGCCAAAAGUUGUGAUGGCCCAGGCUGAUAAACCAACAGCCAAUGAGACCAGCUUCUUGGGAUGUUCAACCAAGGUAAUGACAACAAUAUAAAAAAUGAUUUGCAAAUAAGCAAUCAAUCAUUUCCAGGAUCAGUAUCUAGAAACAUUUACAUUUUUACUUCAUAAUUACAAUCAACAUAGUUGAACUGUUUUUAACAUGUUCUUGGUAAUAUCUACACACUAUGAAUUGGAAAUGUCAAGAAGGUUGGCUGAUGAACUUGUUGUGCUCAUUUUAAUUAUUGAAACUGAACUGAAAUAAAAGUUUUCUUUGUCCUUAAUUCUGUUCACCACAAUACACCAAAUGUCCCCUUUUCUAUGGCUUAUGAGUUUGCAUGUAGGGGUAAACCUAAUUUUUUUUAACAUUCGUAAUGUUUGUGAUUGCAGAUGACACACAUUGAGGACCAUGAGCCGUUUCAACCAGCACCUGAGGUCACUGCGAGCAGUCAGCAGGUAUGUAAUUACUAGUGGAAAAAUUGUAUACCAACGGGAAAAGCCACAGCUUAAGAGACCCAUUUUUU